rnacentral:rRNA from 1 species
AGCAGCCGCGGUAAUUCCAGCUCCAAUAGCGUAUAUUAAAGUUGUUGCAGUUAAAAAGCUCGUAGUUGAACUUCAGGCCUGGCUGGACGGUCCGCCUUCCGGGCGAGUACUGUCUGUGGUCGGGUCCUACCUUCUGGCGAAGCGUCAUGGUCUUAACCGGCCGUGGCGGGGAACCAGGACUUUUACUGUGAAAAAUUAGAGUGUUCAAAGCAGGCAAUUUCGCUUGGAUACAUUAGCAUGGAAUAAUGGAAUAGGACAAUGGUUCUAUUUGUUGGUUUCUAGGACUGUUGUAAUGAUUAAUAGGGAUAGUUGGGGGCAUUAGUAUUCAAUUGUCAGAGGUGAAAUUCUUGGAUUUAUUGAAGACUAACUACUGCGAAAGCAUUUGCCAAGGAUGUUUUCAUUAAUCAAGAACGAAAGUUAGGGGAUCGAAGACGAUCAGAUACCGUCGUA